rnacentral:lncRNA from 1 species
AACAACUUCCAAGCAAUCUAUGGAUCGUGGCAGUGAUUGUAGCUGUUGUCAUACUUCUGCUUGCCGUUGCUAUUCUCAUUCGUGUGCUGAUGAAGAAAGCUGCCAAGAGGAAUCAACAUAUCACAACGCGCUCAGACAUCGAAAAUUCACCUAGGAGUGAUUCCACCUUAAUAGGAAACCAGCCCAAGGAAACCAGGAGGAAGACAAAUCAGCCAGCUAGAACAGCAGCAAAGAACAUCCAGGAGAUGCCCCACACCGUUUAUGCUGCGGUGCAGCAUCCCAAACAGAAUCCUUUGCAAACAGACGAUGAGAAGAUACAGAAGGGACGGCGCAGCCACCAAAACCAGGGAGAGAAAACAAUUUAUUCGGAGAUCACCAAGGCUCAGGAGGCACGUGGCUUUGACACCUCGGUAUCCCAGUAUAGUUCCUGAGGUUGUGAAUUUCCCCUAAAUGAAUCUAGUUCCUGAGGUUGUGAAUUGAAAACAAUCAACUGUACUACAUUCACAC